CAAUCUGAUGUUCCACUGUGCAGAAACACAAUAUUUUCUCCUCUGUCACAUAUGAGUAAAUCUUUUUGCUGUACAACUAGCCAUUUUUAGUGAGAACAAGGCAAGAUAAUCCUGUUGUUUUUUGGUUUUUUUUCAUUCCAGAAUGACCUGUGGGCAGCAUAAUCUUUUAACAGACAGUGUUGGGCCUUUCAGAUUUUCAGGGCUAACAAAGGUCUGUUUCAUCAAGGUCAAAGCCCUUGCAGAGUCAUACAGUUCAGCCAGUUCCCCUGAGGUGUCUCUAGAUGAACAUUUGGAUCAGUUCUGUAGCUCAGAAGAAACCAGGGCCAAUUUUUGAACCCCUGAGAUUUUCUCCUAAGUGCAAAAACGUUUUAAUGCUGCUUAGAUGUGAAUAGUUUCUACAGAGAAUAUUUUCAUCUUUUAUGCUGCUACAAAACAAUAAACAGAACAUGAUACUGGA